rnacentral:tRNA from 2 species
UGGGGAUGUAGUGCAGCGGUCAGCAUAUACUCGCUCUGCAAAAGCGACAAAAGACGCCAGGUUCGACUCCUGGCCGCUCCAU